UCUUAAUUAGCUUAGAAGUCUUGAUAGAAAGAAUAAGUUCUUGGCUGGGGCUACACCGCAAGAAAGGUUUUCUUGGGCGGUAGGAAGUGAGUCAAACCAAGGGAUAAGGUUCUUUAAUUUUCAAGAAAGUGUCUAAGUGUUGUAAUUGAAAGAAUUAUUUGUAAAACGUUAUUUCGAUUAUAGUGAAGAAAAAUCUUCCAGAUCAAACGGGGGGCCUGGAUGUAGUUUGUAAGUGGACCCGCAAACGAACCAGGAUAAAAACCUUUGUGCACG
rnacentral:lncRNA from 1 species